GUGAUUAGAUUUGAUUGACCUAAGAGUGUGAAAAAGUGACCGGACAAGACUUAUUAGUCUGUUAUAAAAAAAAUACCGGCCCAACUACAAAGUUUUAUCGAUUAAAUGAACCAAACACAAACGCUAGUUACCUGGUGUUCAGAACUAGCUUGUAAAAUAGAGUGACGUUAGCUCAUAGCUCGUUAGCCAAGUUAGCUUGCCGUGAUGGUGGAAUACAAAGCAGAAGCCAAGCAAAAUAACCACUAAAGGACCGAGUUACUUCAUGGAGCUACAACAUCUUUGCUGUUGUCCUUCCAGUCCAGUAUGCCGUUCAAGUGGACUCUCAGGUACUUGUACCGCCCCACUACUGCCACCUCCUGGCCAAGGAUUAUGAUGGGCUCCACAGGGAUCAUUUUCUUCUUGAAGUAGAUGACCAGCUCCAUGGUCUUGUCCACAUUAAGGAGCAGAUGGUUCGCCUGAGAUUAACCAUUCAAAUGCCGGCACCAUUUCAAAGAUUUGUAUCUCUCCGUUCCAAAUUGGAUCUCUGGAGAGAUGACGUCUGGCUGUUUUAAAGUCAGCUGGAGACGACAGCAAAGACGCGACACAUCGACCCCAUCAAAAUGAUAAUUCUCUCUCUUCAUGUUCAUGUGAUUGAGGCAAGGUUGAGUCAACAAGCGGCUUGUCUGGUUACCCUGGAUGGGACGUGCUGGUGAAUGGCUAAUAGGGGACAGAAGGAGGGGAAGCUGGCGACACGCGUGCAAGCUUGCUGAGGUCAAUAUUGGAUGGAUUAUCUCUCUUGUCGGCCAUGUCAAGCAACUUCCAUGUGGCCCUUGUUAAGCACACAUACGGACUGAUGUUGCCCGUCACGUUAGCGUGCUUCUCAUUACACUGUUAAAACAAAAAACAUACACUAUAUUGCCAAAAGUAUUUGGCCACCUGCCUUUACUCACAUAUGAACUUGAAGUGCCAUCCCAUGGAAUUGUCCAAAAUGUUUUGGUAUCCUGGAGCAUUCGAAGUUCCUUUCACUGGAACUAAGGGGGCCAAGCCCAAUUCCUGAAAAACAACCCCACACCAUAAUUCCUCCUCCACCAAAUUUCACGCUCGGCACAAUGCAGUCCGAAAUGUAGCGUUCUCCUGGCAACCUCCAAACCCAGACUCGUCCAUCAGA